rnacentral:rRNA from 1 species
UACGGAGGGUGCAAGCGUUGUUCGGAAUUACUGGGCGUAAAGCGCGUGUAGGCGGCCGAUUAAGUCUGGUGUGAAAGCCCGGGGCUCACCCCCGGAAGUGCGCUGGAAACUGGUCGGCUAGAGUAUGGGAGAGGAAAGUGGAAUUCCCGGUGUAGCGGUGAAAUGCGCAGAUAUCAGGAGGAACACCGGUGGCGAAGGCGGGUCUCUGGGCCGAUACUGACGCUGAGGAGCGAAAGCGUGGGGAGCGAACAGG